GUAAUAAAAACAGCCAACAGCCAACAGAUAAAGAAGGAUCCAUAAACAGAACUCUGUUGCUCCUCCUCCUGUUUCCAGCUCAAUAAAAGUGGAAGGUGAACAGAUCAGACAUUACAUUUUGAUAAAUGAUGAUCUGAAGCAGGUAAGAUACAUACUGAACACAUUUUCAGGUUAAAUCACCACUUUAAUAACUUUUCCAAUCACUUCAUUGCGUGUAGAUUUGUUUUCUAGUGUUUUACUGGACUGAAGACCAAACAUUAGUUCCUGUUUGGACAUUAUUAAUAAUUUUCAGCCAGAAUCCAGCUAAAACCUGUCUGCUGAUUACUGUCGAUGCAGAAAGUCGUUGGGCUGCGAUAACUGUGGGACACACUGAGCUCUGGGUACAUCUGCACUGUCUUAGUCACUGUUAUCACCAACAUCUCUUGUUUAGGAAGAGUUGACUUCAGUCAGAGUUUCAGAUCAAAAGUAAAAACAUGGACAACUUUCAGACAGAAACUGAUCCAACUCGAAGGGCUGAAGUCAAGAAGGCGUUGGAGGAGUUUAAGGAAGAAAUGGAUGCAUUUGUACUGGCUCACCACACACUAUUAUUUAUGUUGUUUAUGGAACAAACCAAGAAGAGACUGAUGAGGACAUUAAGUAAACCUUUGAUGGAAGCUGCGAUGAUCAAGUGUCAGGAUAAAACUAGUCGUCAGUGGCUGAGGGAAAACUCAGAUUCGUUCUUCCAACUCGCCGACAUGUUUCAGUUCCUGAAAGAAAAGAUUGAUGAGGAGGAAAAGAAAAACCACAGUGACACUGUUGACAUCAUCUUCGUGGCUCAUGGAUUGAUCACAGACCCCAUGAUCCCAGCCUGCUGCUUGCUGCCUAUGUCCAACAUCAGCGACGUGGUCCUGUAUUCUCCCUGGAACUGUGUCACCGAUGCUAAUAUCACAUAUGGCAUCGCUACAGGAAGAAUGAAGCCUCAGCACAGAGUUUUUUACUGCAGUAAAAACAAAAGCUGUCGAACUCCUGAUAAAGAUCAUCAGCCCACCAACCAUCAUAGUCAGUCCACUUCAGCCAAAAGCUGGUGUGUGGAAAAAAUACGAGUCUCUGGCCAAAAGGUUUGGUCCACCAGGGAGAAACCGCAUCGUUAUCCCAUUUAUUUUCCCAGAAGACAAGAUGUUUGGUUCUUCAGAAACUGUCCCAGUGUACGUUGUCACCUUAGCUCUGUCUCUGGUUCUCUGCUCCUCCAGGUUUAAGGCCACCGUCCAUCUUGAUACCUGUCUGAGCAAAUAACCUGCAGACACUAACCUGGAUGAGGACUAUCUGGAGCAGCAGUACGCCUGCACUGUCGAUGAUACCGGAAUGACGCUUUCAGACGAGGCGUUGAGUGAAACCUGGAGCGGGUUUUUUCAACGCUUGUUUAGUUGAACACGCUCCAUGUCUUUGAGGCCUGAACUGUAGAAAACGAUCGAAGUACUCUGUCUGCACACAUCAAGACCUUUAGUUUCAGUUUUCUGGAUGCGUUUACAGUCAUGAGAUUCUUGCUUUUUGUUUGAAUGAUAAUUCACAUGUAGUAUCCUCAACAUUUUCAUAGCAUUAAUGUUACACCUGUGUACGUCCAGUCCCCAAAUGUGUUCAUAAUUUGUAUCCACUGAAUGCAGCUGUGGUCAUUUGAAGAUAAAAUAAAG
ensembl:lncRNA